rnacentral:rRNA from 1 species
UACAUAGGGUGCAAGCGUUGUCCGGAAUUAUUGGGCGUAAAGAGCUCGUAGGUCGUUUGUUACGUCGGAUGUGAAAACCUGAGGCUCAACCUCAGGCCUGCAUUCGAUACGGGCAAACUAGAGUUUGGUAGGGGAGACUGGAAUUCCUGGUGUAGCGGUGGAAUGCGCAGAUAUCAGGAGGAACACCAAUGGCGAAGGCAGGUCUCUGGGCCAAUACUGACACUGAGGAGCGAAAGUGUGGGGAGCGAACAGG